AACAUCGCCUCUUGACAAAAUAUAAGAGGUCCAGCCUGCCCAGUGACCUAUGUUCAACGGCCGCGGUAUCCUAACCGUGCGAAGGUAGCGUAAUCACUUGUUCUUUAAAUGGGGACUAGUAUGAAUGGCAUCACGAGGGUUAAACUGUCUCCUUUUUCUAAUCAGUGAAACUAAUCUCCCCGUGAAGAAGCGAGGAUUUUUUUAUAAGACGAGAAGACCCUAUGGAGCUUAAAACAAAUUUACACCUGCUUUAAUAUAUCUCCCUUCCUGAACAUUCACACGAAUUAUAGCAUGACUGAUAAAUAGUUUUCGAUUGGGGUGAUCAUGGAGAAAAAACCAACCUCCACGACGAUAAGGGAACAUCCCUGAGCCAAAAGCCACAACUUUAAGCACUAAAAAAUUAACGCAAUUUGACCCAUUACUUGAGCAACGAACCAAGUUACCCUAGGGAUAACAGCGCAAUCCACUUCAAGAGCUCCUAUCGACAAGUGGGCUUACGACCUCGAUGUUGGAUCAGGGUAUCCCAGUGGUGCAGCCGCUACUAAAGGUUCGUUUGUUCAACGAUUAAAACCCUACGUGAU
rnacentral:rRNA from 1 species